rnacentral:rRNA from 1 species
GACGAACGCUGGCGGCGUGCUUAACACAUGCAAGUCGAACGGAAAGUCCCUGCUUUUGUGGGGUACUCGAGUGUCGAACGUGUGAGUAACACGUGAGUAACCUGCCCUUGACUUUGGGAUAACUUCAGUAAACUGGGGCUAAUACCGGAUAGGAGCUCCUGCGGCAUGGUGGGGGUUGGAGAGUGUCGGCGGUUGUGGAUGGACUCGCGGCUUAUCAGCUUGUUGGUGGGGUAGUGGCUUACCAAGGCUUUGACGGGUAGCCGGCCUGAGAGGGUGACCGGCCACAUUGGGACUGAGAUAAGGCCCAGAAUACUACGGGAGGCAGCAGUGGGGAAUAUUGCACAAUGGGCGGAAGCCUGAUGCAGCAACGACGCGUGCGGGAUGACGGACUUCGGGUUGUAAACCGCUUCCGCCUGUGACGAAGCGUGAGUGACGGUAAUGGGUAAAGAAGCGCCGGCUAACUACGUG